AUGGCAAGCCACCUUCAAGUUCAGCAGAAAAAACAACAACUGAAUCUGCCACCAGGGUUCGGGUUUCACCCGACGAACAUGGAGAUCAUCAUCUUCUACCUGGUCCCCAAGGUUCAGAACAAAGCCUUCGACACGACGAUGAAGUCAUUGAUCUUCUACAAGGGCAAGGCCCCUAGGGGGAGGAAGACAAACUGGAUGAUGCAUGAGUACAGAAUCGAGAUUGACAAGCAGCCGACACCCAACUUGCCCACCAACAUCGUCGAAGCCGCCACCAAUAAUGUGUCUUCCAAGCACAUGACUGAAGAAGGUGGUAAUGCCGUCAUAUGCCCCGCCCAGUCUUAUGUCAAUUGGGGCAGAGCAACAUCGGGGCUUUCUCGAAUCCAGUACAUUGGCUCCUCUCAUGGACUACAACGUGUUGUUGUCACUAUCGCGCGGUCGCUGCUGCCUACAACGUUUGUGUACCAGAUGCUUGCCAUCGGGGCCAGAUCAUCCAUGAUGGGUAGUGUGAUGCUCCCAACUUCUGUGUACAUAUUUUCACAUUAG
rnacentral:rRNA from 1 species